rnacentral:rRNA from 1 species
ACAGCAGCAGCCGCGGUAAUACGGAGGGUGCAAGCGUUAAUCGGAAUUACUGGGCGUAAAGCGUGCGUAGGCGGUUCGUUAAGUCUGUUGUGAAAGCCCCGGGCUCAACCUGGGAAUGGCAAUGGAUACUGGCGAGCUAGAGUGUGUCAGAGGAUGGUGGAAUUCCCGGUGUAGCGGUGAAAUGCGUAGAGAUCGGGAGGAACAUCAGUGGCGAAGGCGGCCAUCUGGGACAACACUGACGCUGAGGCACGAAAGCGUGGGGAGCAAACAGGAUUAGAUACCCCGGUAGUCCCUGUCUCUUAUAC